CCUCCCCCCGCCUGGUGACUUCCCCCCCAAACUCGCCGGGGCCGCUGCUCCCUCCGCCCCAACCCCGCCCGGCAGCCCGCCUCCCGGCUCCCCUCGGGGGUUCACCCCGGCACUGAAGGGGAGACCCGGGGUGCCGCCUGGGCACCCCCACAGGAGACCCCGGCCCCCGGCGGCGGAGAAAAUGGAGCCGGAGAGGGAGAGAGAGAGAGGAGGCCCAAGCGGGGGCUGAUCCUGAUGUAGGAUUUGACCCUUCUCAUCUCUCUUGACUUACUGGGUCACGGAAAGAAAGGCCGGGUUCUAGAGGGGAGCAGAAGACUUGCUGACCCCGGAUGCAUUGCUCGCAAUACACCUUAGGCCCUAACACUGGCCCAACACACAGUAAGUAGCCAGAGACUGGGACCGAAGAGUUAUCACUGCCCCCAAGCCGACAGUAUGAGGGAAUGUCUACUGGUGGCCGAGCUAGUGUAGACAAGGGUCAAGGGGGGGAAGAGUUGCCUAGGGAUUCGAGAGUGGAAUACUGAACUUAGCCCGGCCUUCAAUCAGUUCUAGUAGCCCCAAGAAAGGAGCAGGACUGUCCGCCCUAUGAAGUUGGAGCCCAGUGACUUGGGGCAUGAAAUUAGAUGAAGAGAACCCCAUAGUGUGAAAUGAAUUACUAAGUGUUAAUUGUAACGAGGCACUUUGGCACAUGGUGAAUACUCUACAAAUGGUGACUAAUCUUGCAGAAUGCUUCCUGGCUUAUCAGCAUUGAGGUAAAGCCACGGACUUACAGCUACCUGCCCUUGGGUGAGGGACAGUUAUCACCUUGUCUAUUUUAAGACUGUUGGAGAUUCUCACUUUCAGUGAUAUCCCGGAUGAACUGGGAUCCCCAGAUUAUCAGUUUGCCUUUUAUAUUUAACUCCCCCACUACCUAUAUGAAUAAAUCUGGAGUACUGAAUUUCCCAAACACUGUACGCCCUUUAGACCCUUGGAAAAUAAAGUAGCACUUCAAA